CCCUCCAUUUCUUUUUCGUUCCUUUUUUUGCCUGUUCCUACAAUUUUUUGUUUCAACUUUUUCCGCUUCUUUGUUGGGUAGCUCGUACCCAAAAAAAUGGUGCGACAUGACUCCAAAAUCAAAAAGUUUUAGGCACUAUUAAGCAGUUGAAAUCAUUUUUAUCUAAUAGACCUUGCCUUAAAGCUUGCGAGCAAUGUUAGUGCGGCAGCUAUUGUGUUUUAGUCAAAUGGGAGCAGAUGUUACGGUGAUGGGUCGUGUUCAAAUUUGUCUCUCUUCGAAUGAGAAAACCAUCAUUUAGUCAGUUGCUUUAUGGUUGAAGUUGGGGAUAGGAUAUAAAUUCAUGAUUUCAGUGGUAUGUCUCUGUCGCUAGCUUGUGAAAGAGGAGGGGAGGGCUUUGAUUUGGACUGUCUAUUAUGGGGAUGAUCUGAACGUUCUUGCUGUUCUACAUGAGAAGCAUAAUGCUAAAAAAAUGUUGUCUCGGAUGAUGAAUGGCAAUGCCAAUGAAUGCGAAGCAUUCCGCUGUCUGUGGAGAACGAAUAGUUUAUGCGACUAACAUCAGUUCAUUGAUGACUUCUGUGGGAGAAACUUCUGAAAAUAGUUUUGGAGAUAAUGGUUUAAAACUGAACUUACAACAGUGAUGCACGUCUCAAGAGAGCAUCGAGCAGAUCGUUCUGCGGCUAUUUGGUAAGGAAUAUGAAAGAGGUUAAAUUUGGGAAGGAACGCAAUGCAAUGCUGUGAUUUGUAGGCCUGUUAUAUUUGCAAUUCAUAUGUGAUCUUGCUGAAGACAGACGAGCUUUCCUCACUUGCAUUUUUCUGAAUGGACUCUGGUAUAUACAAAAGAUUGGGAGAAUGUUGUUUGCUUGUUUGCCUUGCCUUCAUAGCUACCUAUACUCUCAUAAGCAUCUUCAUGACGGAGAUUAUCAGGUUCUUUCCUGUGCCAUUGGUUGCUUAUUUUGCUACCAAAGGGUCUGUCUUUCAAGGGAUCAACCAAGGUACAUCAUUGAAAGUUGUAUAUUUUAAGAAAGAUUUUGGUGCUUGUAUGUUGCAGAUGAUAAAAGUGACUAUUGGAGUUGGAGAAGUGGGCUUGGGAGAAUUCGCCGGAAGCUCAGGCCGUAAGAGAAGCUCUUAAUCCUUGGAGAAAUCAUGAUGCAGAAGCAAAAAAGAAUUCGUAGUGCUGCCAUUGUUGAGUUCUUCCUGAGCCGAGGGACGAUCGACAGGAUGAUCACAACAUCAGUUUCAUUCGAUUAUGUUUAAUCUUUUUGCCUUUAUACGUUGGCAAAGAGUAUUUCAAUUCGGACAACUAUACAUGCUGAUACUGAAGAUGAAUUCAAAAUUACGCCGGACGCAUCUGCACAUCGGUCGCCUCUGUCCUGGAAUGAAUUCAGAACAUCCCGAAAUGUGCUGAUGCGAUUUCGUCUUCGGCUGCUUGGCAACUAAUUUCCCCGUCCGGCGAGCGAGAUUUUCCUGUACGCGGGUUCUGGCAAUUUAUAUGUUUCUCUCGGCACUGCUCUUUAUGUACUUCCCUCGUCAUCAUCCAGUGGACUUCACAUUCUCUUUGGCAUACUGCAGAAAUCUCAGUAGCUAUCAUUUUUGCUUGUCCUCUUUGAUCAGCAAUGCGAUCAGGUGAUAUCCUAUGGCCAGUCGUCCUCGUACCGGACCCCGUGGAUGAGCUGCAACAUGGUUGUGUCGAGUGGUCGGACUCGUGUAGGCACGAUUCCAACGACGCGAAGGACCUAACAAAUCAAUCACAUCUUCAGAACUUGUGAGGCUUAUACCUCGA